rnacentral:SRP_RNA from 1 species
GCCGGGCGCAGUGGUGCGUGCCUGUAGUACCAGCUACUCAGGAGGCUGAGGUGGGAGGAUCGCUUGAGCUCAGGAGUUCUGGGCUGUAGUGCGCUAUGCCGAUCGGGUGUCCACACUAAGUUCGGCAUCAAUAUAGUGACCUCCUGGGAGCAGGGACCACCAGCUUGCCUAAGGAGGGGUGAAUCGGCCCAGGUUGGAAACAGAGCAGGUCAAAACUCCUGUGCUGAUCAGUAGUGGGAUCGCGCCUGUGGAGACCCACUGCACUGUAGCCUGGGCAACAUAGUGAGACCCCCAUCUCU